rnacentral:misc_RNA from 1 species
AAAUAUCACUUAGUUUUCGAUCAAAUCGAAGAAUGAUUGAAUUUUAAGAGCUGAAUGCGUUUGCAUCGACACUGGCUAUCGCGCGCACUACGUUCUGCGUGUAAAAUUUAGUAAAAUGAGAUUUAAACGUCGAAAUUUCGCUAACUCGAGUGAAAUUUCGCAUAGUUUUCGAUCAAAUCGACAUAUGAAUGAAUUUUUCGAGCUUCUGGGCUUGUUUCAAGGAUAGAAAUCGCGUGCACUACGUUCUGCAUGUA